rnacentral:rRNA from 1 species
UACGUAGGGUGCAAGCGUUAAUCGGAAUUACUGGGCGUAAAGCGUGCGCAGGCGGUUUUGUAAGUCUGUCGUGAAAUCCCCCGGGCUCAACCUGGGAAUUGCGAUGGAGACUGCAAGGCUAGAAUCUGGCAGAGGGGGGUAGAAUUCCACGUGUGAGCAGUGAAAUGCGUAGAGAUGUGGAGGAACACCGAUGGCGAAGGCAACCCCCUGGGUCAAGAUUGACGCUCAUGCACGAAAGCGUGGGGAGCAAACAGG